CCAGGUGUCCCCAGAUGUGUCCAGGUGUCCCCAGGUGUGUCCAGGUGUCCCCAGAUGUCCCCAGGUGUCCCCAGCUGUCCCCAGGUGUCCCCAGAUGUGUCCAGGUGUCCCCAGAUGUGUCCCCAGGUGUGUCCAGGUGUCCCCAG